UAGACGGUAGUAUAAAGGAAAAACAAAGAACUUUGAAUUCUAAGAUGUAAGUUCAACUCUUACCCUUCUAA
rnacentral:tRNA from 8 species